AAAGACUUUAAGGACAAAUUCCAAAUGACAUCAACAAAUAUGGGAGUCAAAGACUCCCAUAAAGCAAGAAGUUUUUUGUCUUCCAGCAGAUAACAGCAAAGUGUUAAUGUUAGCAUUGGCGAAAUACCUUCUGUCACUGUCAGCUGCCUCGGUUUUCUGUUACCCCUAAAUGCCAUUCGUGGUUUUAUAUUCUACCAAGCGUGCCUCUGUUUACAUAAUUAACAACUUCUGCAGUGGUUAAUGGAUGAGGAGAAAACUCUCUAAGGAGGCGAUCUUAAUUCAACCCACGUCUCCUACAGGAAGACACACGCUUCUAUGCAAAGCGUAGACAUGACAUGAUGGGGGAUUUACACACGGCCUUUAUAGAGUAAUUUACUAGCAAACUUGGGUGUAUAUUAUUGUAAACUGCUGUAUACCGUGUGAUUACAAGAUUAAGAAAGAAGGAGUGAAUUGCUAAUCUUGUCAGUCCAACUGUUUUCUUUCUUGAUAACAUUUGCGUUAUUACACUUUGGGUGAUGAAAGACUGUAAUUGGCUGUUGACACUGAUUGAAGGAAGGAGACGUGGCUUUUUCAAAAAAGAGAAUUAAUUAGCUUGGUGAGGGGGGUAACAAUUCAAUCUACAGCUCUCACAGCUGCAAAACAGAAGUGAACUGUCAAAGAGUGUUUUCAUCUCUUUCUUUCCCACCUGCUUUUCUCCUUUUGAUGACAUCUUUUCCUAGAUUUAACACAUUUAAAAUGGGCUCACCAAAGAAAGAGGUGUGUGGGGUGGAGGGAGCUGAGGAGCCUUCAGAGGAAAAACAGAGAAUGUAGCUUUCAGGAUUCACAGCAGAAAUACUGUAAAUGUGAGUGUGUUCCAUUUGCAUGUGUUUAAGCAAUGUUGAAGGAAGACGUCACAGACAGAUGAAGCUCAGCUAAAUCUCUUUAUGCCACUCAAGUUGUUUUAAACCAGUAACGAACACCUGAGACCUCGUUGCUUGUCUGGCAGUCGGACAAGGAUAAUCUAGGUACUCGAGGUUUGGAAGGCAGAAGUGAAGCAGAAGGCAGAAGUGAAGCAGAAGGCAUCAGAUUGUUCCUCUGGCAAGUGGGCUUUUGCAGAUGUGCCAUUUUACAGUGGCUUCCACUUGUUUUCCUUGACAACUUCCUUGAGUGACUGACCCAGCCCCAAUGUGCCUAUCUCCUGUGAAAAAUAAACCAUCAGAUUGGGACUGGUUUGAGUUUCCAUUACAUGCAAUUAAACAUAAUCCUGAUAAAAUCUGCAUAAAAGAGAUGACAGCUAGUUUUCAUUUUCUGAGAAAAUUACGCAUGCAAACACAUCUGUAGAGACUAAUGUUUUCUAGAACUAAAAACUGAGCCAUAAUAUAGCAUUGAUCCUUUUUUGAGCGGGGGAUGUUAGGCAAUCCGGUGGAUAAUGGCUAAAGUAUUAAGCUCCAUUUGUGUCAAAGAUACUGAAUCAUUGAAAAUGAAAACUCAUGUAAUGAUCCUUGUAUAAUGGUUGAAGGUUUAUUAUCAAAGGAUAAUUCAGGGAUGGCAUUUAUCCAGGUAGGUGAGAAAAUAGAAUUUAAAUGUUUUCUGGGACAGAACUUGGAGAAACUGAAAGACCAGUUAAUAUAUAAAUUAAAUAUUCUGCAAAUUACACUUACUUAAGUAGCAUUGAUUGAUGUUUUGAUUCAAUUACCUUUUUCUAUUCUGUAUAUUUAUUAUUGCUGAUUAACCUGAAACUCAUAUGCUACAGAUACCAGAGAAAAUGGGUACAUUUUGAUGUGAACAUUUGAGAAGCAGAAUGGCUUCAGAGUCCUGUUUUGCUGCUAACUUCCUGGGUUUUAUUUUCUUCUUGCUGGUUGAUAUGGCUUGGCAAUGUGUUCUCACCCAAUCGCAUGUUUAAUCGUGAUUCCCAUAUGUCAGGGGAGGGACCUGGUGG
rnacentral:lncRNA from 1 species